rnacentral:rRNA from 2 species
ACAGGGAUUGCCCUAGUAACGGCGAGUGAAGCGGCAACAGCUCAAAUUUGAAAUCUGGCGUCUUUGGCGUCCGAGUUGUAAUUUGCAGAGGGCGCUUUGGCAUUGGCAGCGGUCCAAGUUCCUUGGAACAGGACGUCACAGAGGGUGAGAAUCCCGUACGUGGUCGCUAGCCUUUACCGUGUAAAGCCCCUUCGACGAGUCGAGUUGUUUGGGAAUGCAGCUCUAAAUGGGAGGUAAAUUUCUUCUAAAGCUAAAUACUGGCCAGAGACCGAUAGCGCACAAGUAGAGUGAUCGAAAGAUGAAAAGCACUUUGGAAAGAGAGUUAAAAAGCACGUGAAAUUGUUGAAAGGGAAGCGCUUGCAGCCAGACUUGCCUGUAGUUGCUCAUCCGGGUUUUUACCCGGUGCACUCUUCUAUAGGCAGGCCAGCAUCAGUUUGGGCGGUUGGAUAAAGGUCUCUGUCAUGUACCUCUCUUCGGGGAGAACUUAUAGGGGAGACGACAUGCAACCAGCCUGGACUGAGGUCCGCGCAUCUGCUAGGAUGCUGGCGUAAUGGCUGUAAGCGGCCCGUCUUGAAACACGGACCAAGGAGUCUAACAUCUAUGCGAGUGUUUGGGUGUCAAGCCCGAGCGCGUAAUGAAAGUGAACGGAGGUGGGAACCCCUCGGGGUGCACCAUCGACCGAUCCUGAUGUCUUCGGAUGGAUUUGAGUAAGAGCAUAGCUGUUGGGACCCGAAAGAUGGUGAACUAUGCUUGAAUAGGGUGAAGCCAGAGGAAACUCUGGUGGAGGCUCGCAGCGGUUCUGACGUGCAAAUCGAUCGU